UCGAGGAUCUUCGGCAAUGGGCGAAAGCCUGACCGAGCGACGCCGCGUGUGCGAUGAAGGCCUUCGGGUUGUAAAGCACUGUCGUGGGGGAGAAAGACCGCAAGGUUUGAUCGACCCCAGGAGGAAGCACGGGCUAAGUUCGUGCCAGCAGCCGCGGUAAGACGAACCGUGCGAACGUUAUUCGGAAUCACUGGGCUUAAAGGGCGCGUAGGCGGGCGGCCAAGUCAGAGGUGAAAGCCUCCAGCUCAACUGGAGAAGUGCCUUUGAUACUGGUCGUCUCGAGGGAGAUAGGGGCGUGCGGAACUUCCGGUGGAGCGGUGAAAUGCGUAGAUAUCGGAAGGAACACCGGUGGCGAAAGCGGCGCGCUGGAUCUCUUCUGACGCUGAGGCGCGAAAGCCAGGGGAGCGAACGGGAUUAGAUACCCCUGUAGUCC
rnacentral:rRNA from 1 species